rnacentral:rRNA from 1 species
AAAAAAUUAAUAAAGAGUACUGCCUGCCCAGUGACAAAAGUUAAACGGCCGCGGUACUUUGACCGUGCAAAGGUAGCAUAAUCAUUUGUCCUUUAAUUGAGGACUAGAAUGAAAGGCAACACGAAAACUAAACUGUCUCCUCCUUAAAAAAAGAAAUUUAUAUUUUUGUGAAGAAACAAAAAUAAAAAUACAAGACGAGAAGACCCUGUCGAGCUUAAGAAAAUUUUUAUAAAAAUAAAAAAGAAGCUUAAAAAUUUUACUUUUAAAAAUAAAAAUAAAAAUAUCUUUGGUUGGGGCAACCACGAAGAAAAAAAAACCUUCGUUCAAAAUAAAAAAUUUACCAAUUUAAAACUUUAAUAAAAAAAAAGAUCCAGAAAAUACUGAUCAAAGAAAAAAGUUACCGCAGGGAUAACAGCGUUAUUCUCUUUAAGAGCUCGUAUUGACAAGAGAGUUUGCGACCUCGAUGUUGGACCGGGGCACCCAAGAGGUGUAGCAGCCUCUAAAGGUAGGUCUGUUCGACCUUUAAAGCCCUACGCGAU